UUGUACUUCAUCUUAUAUACCCAUUUGCAUCCAAUGGCAUGGUGGAAGUGGCAUCACGGUCCAAAUGUGAUUGAGCUUUAAAGCCUUAAUUUCAUUGGCCAUACCAUCACACCAAUAAGCAUGUUUCAUUGCUGAGAAAAAAAAUUUGGAUUCUUGAGAAGAGGCAAUAUUAGUUACAAAUGCAUAGUGAGAGCUGGAGAAUUUAUCAAAAGAAAGAUUAUUUUGGAGUGGAUAUUUUGUCCAAUUGUGGGGCUGUUUUGACAUGAGCUGUUUUGAUGUGAGCAAGAAAAGGAUGAAAUUUGUGAGCAUUGAAAAUCAUGAAGUCAUUAAAAGGGCAUCAAGUCCUUGUGGAGCAUUUUGGAGCUAGAUCAUGAGAUGUUGUUUCAAAAGAAUCCUGAUUAGAAUGGGAAGAAGGUCGAGUAGCUAAAAAUGGAUGAUCAAUUGAAGGAUUAGAGAGAAUGAGUUCAUCUCCAUUAUCAAUAUUGUGAGGAAGAAUUGGAGAUUGGGAAGAAGGGGAAAUACAUCCCUACUAGUGAAUAUUUUUUUUCCUCAAAUAGGUCAUAGACAUAGUAGCCCUUUUGGUCAUAGGGAUAUCCUGCAAAAACACACUUUCAUGAUUGAGGUCCAAAUUUAUUUUUGACUUGAACAGGAGCAAAACAAAAACAUCCAAAGGCACAUAGAUG
rnacentral:lncRNA from 1 species